UACGAAGGGGGCUAGCGUUGCUCGGAAUCACUGGGCGUAAAGCGCACGUAGGCGGCUUACUAAGUCAGGGGUGAAAUCCUGGAGCUCAACUCCAGAACUGCCUUUGAUACUGGUGAGCUUGAGUCCGGAAGAGGCGAGUGGAACUGCGAGUGUAGAGGUGAAAUUCGUAGAUAUUCGCAAGAACACCAGUGGCGAAGGCGGCUCACUGGUCCGGUACUGACGCUGAGGUGCGAAAGCGUGGGGAGCAAACAGG
rnacentral:rRNA from 1 species